UACGUAGGGUGCGAGCGUUGUCCGGAAUUACUGGGCGUAAAGAGCUCGUAGGUGGUUUUGCGCGUUGUUCGUGAAAACUCACAGCUUAACUGUGGGCGUGCGGGCGAUACGGGCAGACUGGAGUACUGCAGGGGAGACUGGAAUUCCUGGUGUAGCGGUGGAAUGCGCAGAUAUCGGGAGGAACAUCAGUGGCGAAGGCGGCUGCCUGGCCCAAUACUGACACUCAGGUGCGACAGCGUGGGGAGCAAACAGG
rnacentral:rRNA from 1 species